rnacentral:rRNA from 1 species
UCUCAGUUCGGAUUGGAGUCUGCAACCCGACUCCAUGAAGCUGGAUUCGCUAGUAAUCGCGCAUCAGCCACGGCGCGGUGAAUACGUUCCCGGGCCUUGUACACACCGCCCGUCAAGCCAUGGAAGCCGGGAGUGCCUGAAGUGCGUGACCGCAAGGAGCGUCCUAAGGCAAUACCGGUGACUGAGGCUAAGUCGUAACAAGGUAUC